CUGGCCUGGCUGGCUGGUGGGACAACCAGCAGUGGGUUUCGGAGCCUGGAGGUCGGGAGGAAAGUCUGAGCUGGAGAUGAAUAUGCUAAAAAGGAUCUGACAGCUGUAGUGCCUGGGGCUUGGAGAGAAUCCUGAGCCAAACAUGUCCAUUGUGGCUUCAAUGCCAUCCCCAAGAAGACAUGGGUCCAAACUACGAUGUUGUCCAGUGGAACAUCCUGGAGCUCUUGCAGCCUCACCGCUGGGGGAAGGGGUGCCAGCUGACACCCCUAUAGAAGCAGGGACUCAGACAAGGGCACAUGGAGUCGUGGGCAAAUCUGAGACUGGCAGCCAGGGGACCAGACCCCAUGCCAUCCCAUUCCUGCUCCCGGAGCUGACUACUCCUGAUGCUGAAGCCCCGGUCCCUGACCUCAGUGCCCAGGCCCCUGUGAUCUUGGAUCCCCAAGACGUGCCUGGGGGUGACAUGGACCCCUGCAGUCCUGGCCCAACUUCCCCUGACUGGGGACUCCCUCCGCCUCCUCUGCCCCACCAGGCAUAGGAGUAUCUGGGCUGCUCUGAGGGUAUUUGGGUCUGGGCUGGGCCAGAUGGAGUAGGGGAGAUUUGGGGAAAUGGAAGUGGGGGCAGGUAAUAAUAAUAGCCCACCAUGUUCUCAUCAUAAGGAAAAAAGAAUUGUAACUGUGGUGAUGGAUGGUAACUAAACUUAUU